CUGUUUGCCUCAGCCUUUGAAGGCCAUUGGCUCUAUUAGUGUAAACGCCUCUUUGUCUUACAGCUCAGGAAAAUAGCAGGAGGGACUGGGGACGAAACCACUGCUGUAACUGAGAUUAAAUCAUGACUGGAAUGGCCCAUCUCAACACCUGCCAGUGAUGAUUUGGCCCACUGUGUUUAAGGAACCCGGAUGCCUCUUGUUCCUAGACCUGCCAUGAAACACAGCCAUAAAUCCCGGGAGAGUGGUUCUUCCCACACUUUAGUAACCUGUAUAAAUAAACAGCAAAUCUGUCUGUC